UCCUCCCAUGCCAAGAACUCC
rnacentral:miRNA from 1 species